ACAAAAACAACAAAAUGAAAACAACAACAUCAAAAUAGAAAACAAAAACAACAAAAUGAAAACAACAACAUCAAAUUAGAAAACAAAGACAACAAAAUGAAAACAACAACAUCAAAUUAGAAAACAAAGACAACAAAAUGAAAACAACAACAUCAGAUUAGAAAACAAAGACAACAAAAUGAAAACAACAACACCAGAUUAGAAAACAAAGACAACAAAAUGAAAAAAAAACCCACCAGAUUAGAAAACAAAGACAACAAAAAACAUUAAAAGCAAAACAACUUGAAAAAACAAAACAAAACAAGAAAAACAAAAACACGAAAAAUAGUUCGUUAGUUGUAUUACCGAAGAAAAUUAAAUAUCGUAUAAACUUUAAAAAAUAGAAAUUAAUAACAGAAAACAAUAGAAAAUAAAGGAAAAAACAAUAAAGAAAAAGAAGAAAAUACUAAUUGAAAAAUGUUUUGUGUUGCAGGAAAAAAAGGACAAAAAAAACAAUAGCUGUGAAAUGUUGUGUUGUGUUACUGAAGAAAUACAAACAAACAAACAAACAAACAAACAAACAAACAAACAAACAAUAGACUAAAGAAAUAAAGAAAAAGAAAGAAAGAAACUAUUAAAAAAGAUUAAAAAAAACUGUACUAAAGAAAAAUAUUAAAAAAAUGUACAAAAAAUACUGAAAAAGACAAAAACGGAAUUUUUUUGUGUUGCGUUCCUGAAAGAAGACAAAGAAAACAAGGAGAAAACAAACGCACGAACAAACGCACGAACACACCUGUACCCCGCGUUACACCUGAGACGUGACCACCAAGCAGAGGAAUGUGACAGAUAGCAUGGAAAUCAACACCAUCAACAACAACAACAACAACAACAGCAGUAGUAGUAGCAGUAACAGCAGUAUUAAGCAGGAGGUUGACCCCCUGCUGCCCCCCGCCGCCGGCCAGGAAGAGGGGGCAGGAGUGGGCGCCCCCUCCCCCCUAACCCCGCCGCCACCACCACCGCCGCCGCCGCCGCCGCCCCACCAACCCCCAGCCACGCAUAGGGGACAGAAAGGCAUCAGAAGCGAGACACAGAAAAUGGAAAGCGUUAACAACGGUAGCGGCGGCGGCGGCGGUGGGGGCGGCAGUGGUGGUAGCAGUGUUGCCAAUCUCUCCGCGGCCACCAACGGGACCAGUGUUGCCAAUGGGGUGCUGGGCGGGGGUGGGGGUGAUGGCCGGGUACCCCCUCCCCCCCAUCACCCCUACUCCCCCCCUGGACCCCCCCACAAAA